AAACAGAGAGUCACCCAAGAAAAAAAAAAAGGAAUGUGGACCAGGACAAAAAAUCAGUGGCAGACCAAAAACGUGAAUUCCAAGCCAGAUAUGUGGAGGAGCACCAGCUCGGAGAAGGAGGCUGCGGAGCAGUGUUUGCUGGCUACCGGAUAGAAGAUCGUUUUCCAGUUGCCAUCAAACACA